UACGUAGGAUGCGAGCGUCAUCCGGAUUUAUUGGGUUUAAAGGGUGCGUAGGCGGGAUGCCAAGUCAGCGGUAAAAAUGCGGUGCUCAACGCCGUCGAGCCGUUGAAACUGGCGUUCUUGAGUGGGCGAGAAGUAUGCGGAAUGCGUGGUGUAGCGGUGAAAUGCAUAGAUAUCACGCAGAACUCCGAUUGCGAAGGCAGCAUACCGGCGCCCUACUGACGCUGAGGCACGAAAGCGUGGGGAGCAAACAGG
rnacentral:rRNA from 1 species